ACACGACCUCUCAUUUCCUACCCGCGCGUUAGGUAGUGAUUCUAGCUUGGGAAACGCAGGCGAGGGAGGAAACUGACGAACACGUUGGCGGUGUGCAGUCAUCCCAUCGCGUCGCAUCGGCUUCAGAGUAGGGAACGGGCGAAGAGCUGGUGGGAGUUCUUCAGGGCUAGGUUCUAUACAGUGGAUGGUAGGGAACGCGACGGUGGGAGUUGGCGGCGGCUGCGCUGGGUAUCCGGCCGGGGCAGUAGUCGGCGGCGGUGGUUCGAAAGACAAAGAUCGUUCGCUUUGGGGAAAAGAGAGAGGAACGAACGGAAUGGAAAUGCAGUCAGGUUAGCCGAGGGCGAACGGUGGGAGAGGCCAGGGACGAGGAAAGGCAAGCGAUUUAGCUGGUGCUGGCUCGGGCAAGCCACGAGUUGGAGCGUCGAGAGAGUAGCCGAGGUCCCGUUGCCCGUGGCUGAACCUGAAACGGGAGGAGGCGUCAUGAAAGCGCGCCAGUUGACCGAGUGCACCUCAGCUCGGACGAAAACGCGUUCUUGUUCACGUUGAAGGACAUACGAUUCUUCUGUCUGCACCCUACAGCUGCCUCCGCGGCUUCAAGGAUCCGUAUUCCUGCUUCUGGCUGUCAUGCGUUACACUCGGUUUGUACGGAACGACGUACGUCUAGUGCCAGUGGAUUUCUAGUUCUCCGACCCGAGCCGUUACGCAGGAAUCCGUACUCGAUUUCGUUAUUCCCGAGCCGUGUGUACUCGUUUCACCGAAAGUUUCACCGUUAACUGUGUGUGCUGUGCGAAACGGCUGAGUUGAUCACGGAUGUGCUCCGUGUACCUUUGACACGACGUCCGGCUGACACAACAGAAGGGCCGCUGCGUUUCCCGAAGGAAAGAAAUAGGCCAGGACCAUUGUUCGGCGAUUCGUUUUCAUACCACGGACACAUAUAAUCUCAUGGUACAUUGUUACUGACAUAUGUAUUGAUUUCGCUGGAAAGGUGUUGGUGGACACCGUUCGCGUUCAGGACGGAGUCGACAGGAGCGGCUGGAGAAAAAAAAAAAAUAUGAAAACUCGUUCCUGUCAGUAGGCACGACUAAGGCAUCGGAAAGUAUAAAACGCACUUCUAAUUUCACGUGGACACAGCUCGCCUCCGGCUAUCGUUUCACCUUGACGUUGGACACGUUCGACGUACUGACACGUUUCGGCUGAUAUUCCUUUAUAAUCGGUCCUGAGCGACGAUUCCACGCGAGACGAACAGCCGUUUCGACAGACGUUACUCUUUGUUAUCGAAACACGUGUACCAUCCUGUACCUGCAUACGUAAAACGCGUUCGCACUCCGGAAAGGAUUCGUAUUUCGCGUACGCCCCGAGAACCCCGUCGAUGGUACGAAAUACAAAGGAGCGAAGGAUAAUGGAGCGAACAAAAUGUACUGGCUCGAAGACCGAUUCGAAUUCGCUGAACGUGCUGUGACGCUCGUUAUUUGCAUAAUUCGACGACAGUAAUGCAGCCUGCUUCGCGGUACAUACAAACAAGGAUACGUGUUCCUUAGUAAUUAAUAUCUUUCUACGUUCGUCACCUUUUUUUUUUAUUAACGAUACAUUCCAUUCACGCGUAUGGUAAAAUGUAUUCACAGAGAGCCUCUACUGUCAGUACAAAAGCAACAGAAGAGAUGGAAAUCAAUGUAAACGGUCGUUCCGUUGAAUCGAGCUAAUUCCUUGCUUCGAUUAUCUAAUAACCUCACGGCUAAUAGCGGUGAUAUCUCCGAUCUUGCGACUCUCGGUUCGUUACCUUGUCGUUGUCUGCGCUGGAGGGUAGCAUCCCUCCGGGUCGUUACCCAUUCCGCUCGUUGAAGUGUUGGAACAGGCCGAGCAAAGCCGAAGAGAAGAAGAGGAGGAGAAACCUUAUCUAUUCCACAUUUUGCGUGAAACAUAGUUUGAACUCGUCUAGGAGAGAGCAGAGAUAUUGAAAAAGCUCGUAGCCAAAUAUUAAGCGCUUGUUCCACCAGGAACACUGCUGGUAACUCGAUUAGUCUGGUUCGUGAACAUGUCCACCGUUUCGUUGCGGUUCACCAACUUCUCAGCUUGACAUUCCUUCCCAGUUUCGAGGAAACAAAUAUCACAGGUUGCCGCGAGCGAAAUUAUCGCAGUCAUGACGAAACGAGCAAUCAAAAGGGUAACGAACGACAGAACUAGGAAAAAGAGGACUGCGUAAUCGUCUGUCGAAAGCCAGCUUGAUUAGUUUAGACUAGAGACGGUAGAAAAUCUAUCGGGCGGACUAAUAAGUAGUACAGCAGGAAGCCGAGAGGCACGCACGUCGAGUGACACACGACCGACACGUGGUCAUUGUGUACCGUUUGCAACAUUCCAGUGUACAUAGAGCUAGCUAGUAGGACAACGCUGAGAGGGAGGCCGGACGGGAAAAGAAGAGCUCGUUCCGGAUAGUCGAACCCGCGAGAGUCAGCUUGCCGAUGGACAUGGCAGCUGUCGUUACAUCUUCUGUUACACGCUACCAUCGUCGUCAAGGCUAUCGUGAACCUCACGCUGCCCGCGAGUCGUGCAGACAGGUGUUAUCGCGAGGCGUCCAGGCUCACCGGAUACGAGACUCCUCGUGAUAGAGCGGACACGCGGCUCGCGAGUCCAGUUGUCCACUGUGCGUUAGAGUGUCACCGAUCGAUCGAGAGACUCACCGACGCGCGUGACACGCGAGCAUUCUUCUAGUGACCAAAAGUGUUUUGUUAGGGGUGAUACCGGUGCGGAUAUAUCAGUCCUGCCGAGGAAGUAGACCAGAGCAGUUGGGGAGAGGGAACGAACGACGGGGAUCGACAGUGUAGAGUAUAGUUUUAUUUGGUCCACUGUUUAAGAUGAAGAAACUGACGAUGGAUUCGCAGCGGCCGCUGUCCAAAUUCCGCGGCACCCUUCUUCUGCUUUUGACGCUGCUCGCUGAGGUCACAUAUUCUGCGGAUCUCGCUAUUGAGAUACCAGGCAACUUGAGCCAAGGUGGCUCCUGGUACCGUUUAGAUUACAGCCCUGCUGUUGGUUAUCCACCACCUAAUACGACUAUAGCCGCUACCGACAUCGGUGACGUUAUCAAGUUCAGGGACGGGCUUCCUGGCACUAGAUACGAAUUUUGGUUGUACUAUAGCAAUAGUACGCUUCACGACUGGCUGACAUGGACCGCGUCUAUAACUACAGCCCCAGAUCCGCCCUCGAACCUAACUGUCUCCGUGCGAAAUGGAAAGACCGCGGUAGUUUAUUGGGCGCCGCCAGCCCAGGGCAAUUACUCUGCGUUCCGGUUGAGGGUGCAAAGUUUCAGCGAUACCGGAAACCCGAAGACAAGCAUCAUCCCCGUGGACGCGGUACCCUACGUGCUACGCGAUCUCAUCCCCGGGGCGACUUAUUCCCUUCAACUUUUCACCGUGUUGGACGCCAAAGAAAGCGUCGCCUACACCAGCAGGAAUUUCACCACCAAACCGAACACCCCAGGGAAGUUCAUUGUAUGGUUUAGGAACGAAACUACCUUAUUGGUUCUCUGGCAGCCGCCCUACCCUGCCGGGAUUUACACCCAUUACAAAGUUAGUAUAGAUCCCCCUGAUGCCAUAGAAUCUGUUCUUUACGUGGAAAAGGAAGGGGAGCCUCCUGGCCCGGCACAGGCUGCUUUCAAAGGACUCGUACCUGGGAGAGCGUACAAUAUUUCCGUGCAAACGGUGUCCGAGGACGAGACUUCAACCCCGACGACGGCCCAGUAUCGAACGGUACCGUUGCGUCCCUUGAACGUCACGUUCGACAAGUCCUCGAUAACAUCCACUUCGUUCCGUGUCUACUGGAAUCCUCCCGAAGCAAUGUCCGAGUUCGAUAAGUAUCAAAUAUCCUUGGGUGGUAACAGGAGAUUGGCGCCGGUCACCAGGAACAGGGACGACGACAGUAAAUGGGAGUUCAAAGAUUUAGAACCGGGAAAGACUUACCAAGUGGUCGUGAAAACGGUCUCGGGCAAAGUCACCAGUUGGCCGGCUAACGGAGACGUUACUUUAAAACCGUUACCUGUGCGCGAUCUUCGCGCUGUCAUCGACGAGAAAACCGGGAUGGUCGAAGUUUCUUGGCGCCCUGAGAAUUCGAGUACUCAGAAUUCUUACAAGCUUCAGUAUCAUGAGGUGGAAACUACAAUUGGCGGUGACAGCAACACUUUAACAACCGAAAAUACUAAGGUGACGUUGGAAGCUUUGUUACCAGGCAGGAAUUAUUCUAUAAUCGUCCAGGCGAUCAGUAACAAGGUCGAAUCGAACGAGACCAUUUUAUAUCAAGUCACGCGACCCUCCAGCCCGAUAAUCGAGGAUCUGAAGCCGACUGAAAUGGGUUUGAACAUCUCUUGGAAGAGCGAUGUCAACUCGAGACAGGAGAAGUUUGAAGUAACGCACAAUAGGAAUGAUACUGGGGAGAGUGCAACCACGUUAACCACGGAAUCCCACAUCGUUCUGGAGGACCUUUAUCCUGGUGCAGCGUACGAAGUUAAAGUUUUUGCAAUUAGCCACGGCCUGAGGAGCGAACCUCAUGACUACCUUCAAGCCGUUUUACCGCACCCACCAAAGAAUUUGAGUAUUGAGAAGGUGACAAGCAACACAGUCGUUGUUCAUUGGGAGGCGCCGAUAGACUCUCUGUACUCCGAAUUUUCGAUACGCUACCGAACAGAAGACGACCCUAGAUGGGUGAAAUUGCCGAGUGUUCGUGAAACAGAAGCUGAAGUAGCGGACAUGACGCCAGGAGAAAAGUACACGAUUCAGGUGAACACUGUAAGUUACGGAGUCGAGAGUCUGCACCCACUGCAAGUGAAUCAUACAGUUAGGCCAAAUCCAGUAUUGAACGUCUCUCCCAUCAUCGAUUCGACGAACGUGACGCUGGAAUGGCCGAGGCCAGAGGGCAGAAUCGAGACGUACGUGAUAAGGUGGUGGCCAGUUGACAAUCCUGAGGAUAUUCGCACGAAGAACGUGACGGAGAGCAACGACGUGACCAGCGUUCUUUUCGAAGAGAACGCGGUGCAAAGGGUAUUCGUUAGCGAUCUGAUGCCUGGGGUACAAUACUUUUUCUUGAUCUACACGGUCUCCUAUAAUUUAGUCAGCGACGUCUCGAAUCUGACGACAAGAACGAUGCCGCUGAUCCAAUCGGAAGUGGUCGUGGUGGUCGAUCAGCACCAGCCAGACUCGUUGACGUUAAGGUACACCCGGACGCCGAUACAGUCGUCGAAGUUCGACCUGUAUCGAUUCCGGAUCAGCGACAAGAUGAACACGACGAAAGAGAAGAUGGUCGACGACGUCGAUACUAAGGUGACGUUUACCGGUUUGACGCCUGGUAAAUUAUACAACGUGACCGUGUGGACUGUCAGCGAUAGCGUCGAGAGCAGACCCCUGCUCAGGCAAGACCGUCUCUAUCCGGAAUCAGUGACAUCGAUCCAAGCGAUCGAUAUCAACGACACAAGAAUCAGCCUGACUUGGGACAUCCCUCGCGGACAGUACGACGCUUUCGAAGUCCAGUAUAUAAACACAGAGGGAAAUUACAACCAGAAUAUCACAUCCGUGAACAUGAUCACGAUCUCCGACCUGAAACCUUAUAGAAAUUAUACGUUCACAUUAGUGGUCCGUUCCGGAACCGCGUCUUCCUAUCUUCGGAUAUCGAAUCCUGUAAGCGCCAGUUUCACGACCAGCGAAUCCUAUCCUGGAAAAGUGGAGAAGUUCCAUCCCACGGAUAUCCAACCGAGUGACAUCAGUUUCGAGUGGUCAUUGCCUAUCCAAGAGCAGAAUGGCAUCAUCAGAAAAUAUACAAUUACAUAUGGUUUAGAAGGUUCGGCCCACACACAGAUGCAAGACUUCAAGCUGAACGAAUACCGCGGAGUGAUUAAGAAUCUAAUACCCGGUAAGACGUAUAUUUUCCGCAUCCAAGCUCAGACGAAGAUCGGCUACGGCCCGGAGGCGGUCUGGAAACAAAAGAUGCCGAUUCUGGCACCGCCGAAGCCAUCCACGCAGGUUGUCCCGACGGAGGUCUGCAGGAGCAGCACUACUAUUCAAAUACGGUUCAGGAAAAAUUACUUCAGCGAGCAGAACGGCGCGGUCACGUCCUACACGAUCAUCGUGGCCGAGGAUGACAGCAAAAACGCGUCCGGCCUGGAGAUGCCCAGCUGGAGGGACGUGCAGGCUUACAGUAUCUGGCCACCCUAUCAGGUGAUGGAACCGUACUAUCCGUUCAAAAACGGGUCCGUGGAAGAUUUCACGAUCGGCUCCGAGAACUGCGACAACAAAAUCGGAUACUGCAAUGGGCCUUUGAAAUCUGGAUCCACUUACAGGGUAAAAGUGCGUGCAUUCACCGCGCCGGACAAAUUCACGGAUACCAGCUACAGUUUCCCGAUACAAACAGGAUUGCUACUGGCAGAUAAGGACAACACGGCUAUCAUAGUUGGAGUCACGGUUCCAAUAGUGCUUUUGUUGGCUUUGUUGGGCAUUGGACUUCUGGUCAGGCGACGGAGGAGUCAAGGGCGUAAAACAACCGAAACGAGGACCACGGACAACUUAUCUUUACCGGACAGUGUUAUUGAAACUAGUCGACCAAUUAAGAUAGAAGAUUUUACGGAACACUAUCGCACGAUGUCCGCUGACUCAGAUUUCCGUUUCUCGGAGGAGUUCGAGGAACUGAAACACGUCGGCAGGGAUCAACCUUGCACUGCUGCUGAUCUACCGUGUAACAGGCCGAAGAACCGUUUCACGAAUAUUUUACCCUACGACCAUAGCAGAUUUAAGUUACAACCCGUGGACGACGAAGAGGGUUCUGAUUAUAUCAACGCUAAUUACGUUCCAGGUCACAACUCUCCGCGCGAAUUUAUCGUCACCCAAGGUCCCCUGCACUCGACCCGCGACGAUUUCUGGAGAAUGGUUUGGGAGAGUAACAGCAGGGCGAUAGUAAUGCUGACAAGGUGCAUCGAGAAAGGCAGGGAAAAGUGCGACCACUAUUGGCCAAUGGAUACCCAUCCUGUUUAUUACGGCGAUAUUUGUGUUACCAUACUGAAUGAAACACAUUAUCCUGAUUGGAGCAUCACGGAGUUUAUGCUAUGCAGAGGAGACGUGAAGCGAGUGAUUCAACACUUCCAUUUCACGACUUGGCCUGACUUCGGCGUUCCUAGUCCGCCUCAAACGUUGGCCAGAUUCGUACGGGCGUUCAGGGAAAGGGUCAGGCCGGAUCAGAGGCCAAUCGUGGUCCACUGUAGCGCAGGCGUUGGUCGCAGCGGCACGUUUAUCACGUUGGACAGAAUACUCCAACAAAUACUUGUGUCCAAGUACGUCGACAUCUUCGGGAUCGUCUGGGCGAUGAGGAAAGAACGCGUCUGGAUGGUCCAGACCGAGCAACAGUACAUUUGCAUACACCAGUGUCUCCUCGCGGUGCUCGAAGGUCAAGAUAUGACCGGUCCGCCCAGAGAAAUCCACGACAAUCAGGGAUUCGAAGGCAAGAAUCGAAGCGCCGUUGAAAACGCAGACGCAAGUCCCGCUGAGGAUGAGAAGGAAAGGUGACCCUCGAACUGCGAUUCCGGCGUCGAUGACGACGAAGGAAUAGCAGAAUCAGGAAUGUGAUGUUCGAAUCCUUCCUCACAUUUGGGGAUCGACGAAAAAACGGACACUCAAGAAGUGGAUAUUCUGGAAGUUUUUUAAAGUGGUGCAAUGCGCAAGUGUUACGUUAUCAUGUUAUCAACGAACGAGAAAGAAAGGAUCGUCGGCUGAGUCAAAGAACGAAUUUGACGAGAACGCUGUGAUGAUGAUUCCUUUCACGCAGAUAUGUUUACGCGUUUUCUAAACCGGAAGGAAAAACUGGUUAGCUAUUAUCAAAGCAUUGAAGUGAUACGAUAUUAGUUUUCUUACUUGACAACUGUGAAAAUUAAACGAAACUUCUUUGACGUGUGUGGAACAUUUAAAAUUGAGACGUGUACGUGAUAGUAAAGAUCACCGGGGACGUGUUGACAACAAAUUUGUGUAUUUGUCGACAAUAAUCACCAGUUUCCGUUGGAGGCUCAUCGGGAAGACGGUGAAACCAUAGACAGUAGCUAUUGAUAUUAUUGGAUACUUCGACGAGUGACAGUCAAGUUUCAAACGAUCAAACUGAAUGAACAAGGAAAAAUGGCAUUCCUAUCUUUUAUACCACAUAGACAAGAUAUUUUAUCCUCAUUCAAUCAUACUAGGUCACAUUUACCUCCAGGGGAUUGUAGAACCUUUAGUUUCGGAAAAGCCGGGAAGUUUGCUAAGGAGCAACUUUCCACGCAACUGGACUAUUAUUAAAAGAAACUCACAAACGACGAUGAAGAUUUUAUCGAAAUUUCAAGUUCAGGAAACAAUUAUGAGCAAAAGUGUUUCAGCAAGGAAUUCUUGGGAAUGAAUUGGAAUGGUAAAGCAUUUUCUGUAACGCGUUUGGACGUUGCCGCGUGUAGAUAUAAGCCCCCAGCGUUCACGUUUUUCGAUCUGAUCAGGCGACGAAUAAAAACAAAACUCGAAUUUAACGUUCAACUAUCGUGCAGUAGAUAAGUCCAGAUUGCAUAUCUUAAGGAUUGUAAAAUGCGUAUCCCGCAUUGAGUUGCCACAGUCGGUUCGCAACAAAUCAACUUUUUCAGCAAAGAGAAUAAUUUUUUAAAGUAUGUUUUAUUUUUCUAUUUUUUUAUCAAAUGGACAUAUUACCUCGUAUAUUUUACAACAUUGAUUUAUUUAGUUAUUAGUGAAAACGAUUAUCAUGAAAUUGUUAAAAGUUAUCUUUUCUAAUGAUAUUGUUUAAUUUCAUCAUUUCCGAUUGAUUGUUAGCUUUCGAUACUUGAUGUUCACGAGAAAGAAUUGUUGAGAAUCCGAACUAAAGCUACGGACACCAUUGUCAUUUUGAAUCACUAUCGCGAGUGGCAACCAUCCGUCCAAGGGCUGUAGUAGAGAUGCCAAUUAAAUGUUAAAGCAUUGCCUAGAAUGAAAAAACGGGGGAAUAAAUAAUAAGAAUCGAGAUGGGAUAAGAACGAAUUUUCUCACGGCCCUCUUUUUUCAUGAUAGGGAAGAAUAUGUCAGUGGGAACAAGAAACUCGCAUCUACGUAGAAAUCAUAUCACUUUUCAUGAGAGUCACUCGACGGUACGUAUUGUAAAAAUACGUUAUUCACUUAUGGACAUUGCGAACAUCGGUGUAGAGAGCCGAUUCGCAUGGAUCGUUCGCUUUUCGACAUCGUUUUCAACGUUCUACCUACUUGCUGGUUCAGUAUUAGCGGAAAACGCUGUGUGGAAUGCAAACAAUAAAUCUGAACGACGAACUACGGACAAAUUUUUUACUCACGAGCUUAAUGAACAAAAUUGAUUAAACGGAUGAGACGUUUUAUGAGAUGUUGAACGUUGAACGACGAUACGUUUCGAACGAGUCGGAAGACCCAAUCGCCGCUCUUCCGGUACUUAGUGACAAAUGUUUCUCAACGUUACAAAAGACGUGUACUUAAUUUUGUAUUUGCGACGAGACGCAAGUAGAAGCGAACAAUUUUAGGUGUUUAAGAUAAACGGAAUGUAAGGAGAGACAGAUUGUUCUCAGCAGGGUCGAAACAAAUUCUCUUUAAUCCAAGGAACAAAGUGGAAGAUACCUGUUGAAAUGGAUUGAAAUUUUCACUGCCCAUGUAUUUUUGGAGAAACGUUUUUAUAUAUCGCUUAAGUAUUGUAGAGUCGUUCGUAAAACACGUGAUCGUACCUACUUGUAUUAGAACGUCCGGAUGAAUCGGUGCUUUUUAUCGAUCCGUUGAUGUUUCAUUAAUAACGGUGUUCCCUUAACGGUAAUGCAAUUUAUUUUAUCACAUUCCAUUAAAUCCUAAAAAAAUUUAAGGAUAUUAAGGUUUUAAUCUGCUCAAAAAUUGUCAACGAAUAUUUUUAUAAUAUUUCAUUACAAUCUUCGUCGAUGUUAGCCAAGGGAAAAUUGCCAAUCGAUUGCCAAACAUAAUAGAGCGUGUUUUACAGUGAUAAGAACGGUUUAAUUUAUUUUCUGACUUCAGAAGUAAAAUUUUCCAACGGAUCGAUAAGAAAAAUAAGAUCGACCGGGCAACUGCAGUUUCCAAUCCAUCGAACUUCUUUGCUAUAUACUAUACUACGCUGUACAUGUAGACUAUAUGUAUGAUAUGGAACGUGUAAUCAAUGUUUCUCACGUAAAUUGAUAAUAAUUACGAUUGUCACCGAGUCGUUCGAGAUUUAGAAAAUUGACGCGUUCUUAAUUUCUUUAUUUCUUCUAUCAUAUCAAUUUCUUCCUAUUUCAGAAGAAACCAGAGCAUUUCUCAAUGUGCAGAUCAUUUUAAUUGCCAGCAGGUAAAUUAUUUGUUUCAUUUUCUCUUUUAUUAUAAUUUUGAUUUGCUUAGUUAAUUUCUAUCCUGUUAGACACUUCCACAAAAUAAAAUUCGAUCAAAUGUUUUAAUCAGUAUUGAAAAAAUUUUUUUAUACUUUUGUAAGUAACGCUUCCGUAAAACUUUUUCUAACGUUUUUCUUAUAAAGUCAUAUAUAUUAUGAUAAUAAUCUAAUGUCGAUGUGAUAAAGUCAUGUUCACCUUGCGAAUGCGAAACACGUUUCUUAAUCUAAUAAUCAUUACUUGUAUUCAGGACAUUAAUUUCAGUUAUCCAAUUCUUUGCAUCAGUGCAUUUAAAUAUAAGAGUACGCGUAUAAAACUGCAAAUAUUUGAAUCAGAUUCUUCGUUUUAUAUUUAACUCCAAUUUAGUUAAUUGCUUCGUAAAAAUUAUAAAUUGUAUGUUAAAAAUAAAUUGGCUAUUGUAUAAUCUCUGCUGAAAAUGUACUGCUUGUAGAGACGGUUGGUUACUAUGAUCGAUAAUUCUAAAGUGAAUGUUGCGUGUUGCUUUCACCGAUCAAGAUUUCGCGCUUCGCCUGUUCCACUUGAUGAUUCACAAAACUUGGAUCUCUCUCUAUCUGUGUAAUUAUGCUUGCGUAGAUAUAUCACGAUCAUAUCAAGCUAAUAUACUAAAUAAUCUAAGAAAUGUGUAACAAGGUCCCAAGUUAAGGCGUGUAAUAUUUUUCUGUAAAGCAGCUUCUCAUCGGAACGAAAUGUAACGCAAAUCGUGCUUACAAUUGCAGAAGAAAUUUUGUUAACAAGCUUUAGAUUAGGUAGAACUAGUGAUUACAGUCAUCGCUUUAAAAGAGUUGUAAUCGAAAGAUACUAGCAAAACAAUUAAAUCUGCAAUUAGGUUCCUUGAAAAAAUUUCAUACACGAUAAAUCCCUCUUAAACAGAUGAUCGUAACUGUACGAAAAUUGGUGCACGAUUUUACCAGCUGAACAAUGAUAAUGAAUAACAGGGCUGAAACAUCCAUAAUUAUAAACAAUUCAUGUACAUUGUUUUUAGCCAAGACGUUUUUCACAAUCUCUACGAGAUUUACUGUUAAGAUGAUUUUAAUGCGAAAAUUGCGUUGUCAUUAGUCAAUGACGAUACGUUGUAACUCUGUGAUAAAUCAUGCGAUGCUCGAAGCCGAGUAUGCGAAAUUCGAUGCGAUGAAAACGGUCUUUUGGUAUACACACACAUACACAAACACACACGGGUGAUUAAUUAAUUUUUGAUUAUCGGUUCGUGCCAAUUAACUAUAAUGCAUAUACCUAUACACCUUUUAGCCGAGGGGCAGAAAUGAGCGGCGCAUAAACAUCACGAUGCAAUUGUAUGAUAAAUGAAUCUAAUCAUUUUAAUUAAUUACAUAAAAAGAGAUUGCGCGUGCGAUAACGCAACGUGCAGCUUGCAUUGUACAUAAUUAUUAACUAAGAAGAUAUGUAUAUGUACGUUUAUAUUUUUCAAAUACAUGCGCACAGGUCGUAGCUCCGUUAAAUUACUAUGAGAUGCGAUCGAGAUCUGCGAUAAGCCUACAAAUUCGUAUUACUGUUAUCCGAUAUUAUUUAUUUUCUACUAUUUAUUUAAAACCAUUAUAUUUAUAAUGAAAGAAAAUUUGUAUUAUCGUAACGCGUGACAUUUUAUUUCGAUGUCAAACAAAAUUAUGAUGAAGUAAACUCGCAGGUUUCCAUUGAGCAUCCCAUAGCAUUCAUGAAGAAGGGCAACAACGGUGAGAUUUAGUAUACAUACGUGUGCGACAAGAAAAUCAUCCAUGUAUACCAUACGUAAGCUUACGGUUUUUCUUUUGUAAAUAAAUUAAUAAUUAAUUUUUUACCACGCUGUGAAGAGCAGCCGCCUGAACGGAAUGAUUUUGCGAUUCGUAGAAUUAUCUCCGGGACGCUUUUGUUGUAAAACUAAUCGUAAACAGAAAAAUGUGUUAACCUGUAUCGAGAAAAUUGUACAGCGUGCAAAGCACGAAGAGACACAGGUUGUCUCAAAAAAAAAAAAAAA